AUGGCUGCGCUGAAGACGGUGUCUAUUGCGGCCGACUCUGUUGCAUGGUGCGACGGUGCUACACUGAACAAGCUCAUGUACGGGCCACCGGCCACGCAUGUGCCUAUGCAUGGGCCAUGCACGUAUAUUCCUUCUGGUGGGAGAGCAUUGCGUGCACACCAAUCAUAUAAAACAAAUAAUAAAAAGCUACACGGACAAAAGCUCUCACUGGAGGAUGAUGCCGAAGGACUUUCUCAUCAUACUGUCUACUACUUCAUCACGCCCGGGGUCGUUGAAGACGAAUACACCGACAUCGGCCCGUCUUCUGUUUCGCCGCGCCAUACACCAUCAAAGGCGAGGGUGUAG
rnacentral:rRNA from 1 species